rnacentral:rRNA from 1 species
AGAGUUUGAUCAUGGCUACAGAACGAACGCUGGCGGCAGGCUUAACACAUGCAAGUCGAACGGGUGUAGCAAUACAUCAGUGGCAGACGGGUGAGUAACACGUGGGAACCUUCCUAGGGGUACGGAACAACUCAGGGAAACUUGAGCUAAUACCGUAUACGUCCGUGAGGAGAAAGAUUUAUCGCCCUUAGACGGGCCCGCGUCGGAUUAGCUAGUUGGUGGGGUAACGGCCUACCAAGGCGACGAUCCGUAGCUGAUCUCAGAGGAUGAUCAGCCACACUGGGACUGAGACACGGCCCAGACUCCUACGGGAGGCAGCAGUGGGGAAUCUUGGACAAUGGGCGCAAGCCUGAUCCAGCCAUGCCGCGUGAGUGAAGAAGGUCUUCGGAUUGUAAAGCUCUUUUGCCAGGGACGAUAAUGACGGUACCUGGAGAAUAAGCCCCGGCAAACUUCGUG